GAGGAUCAUUACCGAGAAAAGGGGGCUUCGGCCCUUCCCUUUCACCCUUUGUCGUAUCACCUUUUGUUGCUUUGGCGGGCUCGCCCCCCGCCAAAAGCCCUUCUAAAUCCUGCUUGAAUGGUGGUGUCUGAGCUAUUUUAUAAUUGAUAAAAACUUUCAACAACGGAUCUCUUGGUUCCAGCAACGAUGAAGAACGCAGCGAAAUGCGAUACGUAAUGUGAAUUGCAGAAUUCAGUGAAUCAUCGAAUCUUUGAACGCAUAUUGCGCCCCUCGGUAUUCCGGGGGGCAUACCUGUUCGAGCGUCAUUACACCUUUCAAGCGUUGCUUGGUAUUGGGCGUUCGCCGGGCGGCGUGCCUGAAAAACAGUGGCGGCCCGGAGUGGCUUCGAGCGAAUUGAAUGAUCCACCGCUCUGGAAGAUCGCCCCGCGGCCGGCCGUUCCGUCCACCAUGGACCUCGUUUAAUUGACCUCGGAUCAGGUAGGGAUACCCGCUAAGUU
rnacentral:rRNA from 1 species